UAUCCAUGAUGUGGGCAUUCAUUUAACAAAUCUUUAAACCUCUCCAAGAUCUGAUAGAAAGUUUCAUGGUCAUUGUGGUUGAAUGUAUAGAUUUGUCUUUUAAGGCU